GAGGGGCCCGCGGCCGAUUAGCUUGUUGGCGGGGUAAUGGCCCACCAAGGCUAUGAUCGGUAGCCGGUCUGAGAGGACGCACGGCCACACUGGAACUGAAACACGGUCCAGACUCCUACGGGAGGCAGCAGUGGGGAAUCUUGCACAAUGGGGGAAACCCUGAUGCAGCGACGCCGCGUGAGUGAUGAAGCUCUUCGGAGUGUAAAGCUCUUUCGGCAGGGAAGAACCAAGACGGUACCUGCAAAAGAAGCCCCGGCUAACUACGUGCCAGCAGCCGCGGUAAUACGUAGGGGGCCAGCGUUGUUCGGAAUUACUGGGCGUAAAGGGCGCGUAGGCGGUGCGGUGUGUUCGGUGUGAAAUCUCCCGGCUCAACCGGGAGGGGCCAUCGAAAACUGCCGCGCUUAGGGUACAGGAGGGGGCAGUGGAAUUCCCGGUGUAGCGGUGAAAUGCGUAGAGAUCGGGAGG
rnacentral:rRNA from 1 species